GGCCGGGCGGCGGCUUACACAUGCAAGUCGAGCGGGGUGAUGGUGCUUGCACUAUCACUUAGCGGCGGACGGGUGAGUAAUGCUUAGGAAUCUGCCUAUUAGUGGGGGACAACAUUUCGAAAGGAAUGCUAAUACCGCAUACGUCCUACGGGAGAAAGCAGGGGAUCUUCGGACCUUGCGCUAAUAGAUGAGCCUAAGUCGGAUUAGCUAGUUGGUGGGGUAAAGGCCUACCAAGGCGACGAUCUGUAGCGGGUCUGAGAGGAUGAUCCGCCACACUGGGACUGAGACACGGCCCAGACUCCUACGGGAGGCAGCAGUGGGGAAUAUUGGACAAUGGGCGGAAGCCUGAUCCAGCCAUGCCGCGUGUGUGAAGAAGGCCUUAUGGUUGUAAAGCACUUUAAGCGAGGAGGAGGCUACUUUAGUUAAUACCUAGAGAUAGUGGACGUUACUCGCAGAAUAAGCACCGGCUAACUCUGUGCCAGCAGCCGCGGUAAUACAGAGGGUGCAAGCGUUAAUCGGAUUUACUGGGCGUAAAGUGCGCGUAGUCGGCUAAUUUAA
rnacentral:rRNA from 1 species